GAUGAACGCUGGCGGCGUGCCUAAUACAUGCAAGUCGAGCGAACAGAUGAGGAGCUUGCUCCUCUGACGUUAGCGGCGGACGGGUGAGUAACACGUGGAUAACCUACCUAUAAGACUGGGAUAACCUCGGGAAACCGGAGCUAAUACCGGAUAAUAUAUUGAACCGCAUGGUUCAAUAGUGAAAGACGGUUUUGCUGUCACUUAUAGAUGGAUCCGCGCCGCAUUAGCUAGUUGGUAAGGUAACGGCUUACCAAGGCAACGAUGCGUAGCCGACCUGAGAGGGUGAUCGGCCACACUGGAACUGAGACACGGUCAAGACUCCUACGGGAGGCAGCAGUAGGGAAUGUUACGCAAUGGGCGAAAGCCUGACGGAGCAACGCCGAGUGAGUGAUGAAGGUCUUCGGAUCGUAAAACUCUGUUAUUAGGGAAGAACAAAUGUGUAAGUAACUAUGCACGUCUUGACGGUACCUAAUCAGAAAGCCACGGCUAACUACGUG
rnacentral:rRNA from 1 species